GGUGGAGAUUUGUAGUUAACCUUU
rnacentral:snRNA from 1 species